AGUCCACCAGUUUUCAAGAACUUGACUUACCCAGAGCUGGUGAAGGAUUUGGAGUGCAACAUCCAUACUUCCAAACACACUCGCUGCUCUUGGAUCCCAGUCAGUGGACACUCCCCAGUUUUUUCUAUGAGUUAGAAGAUGGUGGAGGAAGUUAACGAAGAAAACUUCCUCUUAAGAGCGUGCCCA